rnacentral:pre_miRNA from 1 species
CAAGGGGAACAAGUGAAGCUGCCAGCAUGAUCUAUCUUCGGAUAUAUAGUUCUUUUUUAAUUUUACUGUAUGUAUAUAUGUAUAUGUGUAUGUAUAUACAUAAAUAUAUAUGUAUAUAUAGAACUUAUAACCCUGGCUAGGUCAUGCUCUGACAGCAUCACUCCUUCCUCUU